UGGCCCACGGUGAGAAGUAUUAGGAACCAAGGACUAUAAUUAAUCCAAUUCUGUACAUAUGAGGUCCAAU
rnacentral:snoRNA from 14 species